AUGUCCUGCGGUGGCGUCUUCCUCGGCGUCGACGCCGGCACCGGCAGCGCUCGUGCAGGACUCUUUGAUGACAAGGGUAAGUUGCUCGGGUCAGCGAGCAGCCCUAUACAGAUAUGGAAAGAGAGAGAUUGUGUAGAGCAAUCGUCAACGGAUAUCUGGCAUGCAGUGUGUGCUGCUGUAAAAUCUGCGUGCUCGUUGGCAAAUGUUGCUCCCGAGGAUGUUGUCGGCCUUGGCUUCACCGCUACCUGCUCCCUUGUUGCUGUGGGUGCUGAUGGUUCCCCUGUCUCGGUUUCUUGGAAUGGUGAUUCAAGAAGGGACAUCAUCGUGUGGAUGGACCAUAGGGCUCUCGACCAGGCUGAACGAAUUAAUUCUCACAGUUCACCGGUAUUGCAAUUUUAUGGCGGGAGUGUCUCCUCAGAAAUGCAAGCUCCAAAGCUUUUAUGGGUAAAGGAAAAUCUGCAAAAAACUUGGUCUAUGGUAUAUAGGUGGAUGGACCUCGGUAACUGGUUAACAUAUAGGGCAACUGGUGAUGAAACCCGCAGCUUAUCACACAUGGAACAGUGGAGGGAAUCAAAUCCACGUGGUAUGGAACCAUAUGGAACGGAUGAAGUCUUUUGGGCAGAAAUAGGUUUGGGAGACCUUUAUGAAGGGAGCCAGGCAAAAAUAGGACACUCCGUUGUGUUUCCUGGUCAUCCUCUAGGUUCUGGUUUGACACCUACUUCUGCAAAGGAGUUAGGCUUGCUUACUGGGACUCCUGUUGGAACUUCGCUUAUUGAUGCUUAUGCGGGGGGUCUUGGAGUCAUGGAAAGUGUGCCAGAUGUAGAAUUGAAAGCUGACAUGUUUGAUGAAGAAGCAAUAUGCCAUCGCAUGGUCUUGGUUUGCGGAACAUCUACAUGCCACAUGGUUGUUUCAAAGAAUAAGCUAUUUAUCCCUGGUGUCUGGGGACCAUUUUUGUCUGCGAUGAUACCUGAGUUUUGGCUCACGGAGUGUGGCCAAAGUGCAACUGGUGCUUUACUUGAUUACAUUGUUCAAAACCAUGCUGCGGCUCCCCUUCUGGCUAAUCAAGCUGCUUCUCAAAGUAUGUCCAUUUAUGAGUUGAUGAACAAGAUAUUGCUUUCGAUGGCACAUGAACAAAAUAUGCCUUUUCUUUCUGCCUUGAGUCAGGACACCCAUGUCCUUCCAGAUUUUCAUGGAAAUCGGUCCCCUGUGGCUGAUCCAAAAUCGAAAGGGGUGAUUUGUGGCUUGACACUUGAUACAAGUGAAAAACAUUUGGCGCUUCUGUACCUAGCAACAAUUCAAGGCAUUGCUUAUGGUACUCGUCAUAUUGUGGAGCAUUGUAAUGCUCACGCGCACAAGAUCGACACCCUUCUUGCGUGUGGCGGACUUUCAAAGAACUCCUUGUAUAUCCAAGAACAUGCAGAUAUCACAGGUUGUCCAAUAAUACUGCCUAGAGAAAACGAGAAUGUGCUUCUGGGUGCUGCUAUUCUGGGUGCUGUUGCUGCAAAGAAGUUCGCUGGUGUUCAUGGCGCAAUGAAAGCACUGAAUGCAGCAGGGAAGGUUGUGCGCCCGUCUUCGAAUCCUAGGGUGAAGAAAUACCAUGACGCCAAGUAUCAGAUAUUUAGGUCCCUGUAUGAGCAACAGCUCUCCCAUCGCUCAACCAUGGCGCAGGCAUUGCACUAG
rnacentral:rRNA from 1 species